GCGACGAUCUGUAGCUGGUCUGAGAGGAUGAUCAGCCACACCGGGACUGAGACACGGCCCGGACUCCUACGGGAGGCAGCAGUGGGGAAUAUUGGACAAUGGGGGGAACCCUGAUCCAGCCAUGCCGCGUGUGUGAAGAAGGCCUUUUGGUUGUAAAGCACUUUAAGCAGUGAAGAAGAAGUUAUGGUUAAUACCCAUAAUGGAUGACAUUAGCUGCAGAAUAAGCACCGGCUAACUCUGUGCCAGCAGCCGCGGUAAUACAGAGGGUGCGAGCGUUAAUCGGAAUUACUGGGCGUAAAGCGAGCGUAGGUGGCUUAAUAAGUCAGAUGUGAAAUCCCCGGGCUUAACCUGGGAACUGCAUCUGAAACUGUUCGGCUAGAGUAGGUGAGAGGGAAGUAGAAUUCCAGGUGUAGCGGUGAAAUGCGUAGAGAUCUGGAGGAAUACCGAUGGCGAAGGCAGCUUCCUGGCAUCAUACUGACACUGAGGUUCGAAAGCGUGGGUAGCAAACAGGAUUAGAUACCCUGGUAGUCCACGCCGUAAACGAUGUCUACUAGUCGUUGGGUCCCUUGAGGACUUAGUGACGCAGCUAACGCAAUAAGUAGACCGCCUGGGGAGUACGGCCGCAAGGUUAAAACUCAAAUGAAUUGACGGGGGCCCGCACAAGCGGUGGAGCAUGUGGUUUAAUUCGAUGCAACGCGAAGAACCUUACCUGGUCUUGACAUACACAGAAUCUUGUAGAGAUACGAGAGUGCCUUCGGGAAUUGUG
rnacentral:rRNA from 1 species